rnacentral:rRNA from 1 species
GAGGCGACGAUGCGUAGGGGUUCUGAGAGGAAGGUCCCCCACACUGGUACUGAGACACGGACCAGACUCCUACGGGAGGCAGCAGUGAGGAAUAUUGGUCAAUGGCCGGGAGGCUGAACCAGCCAAGUCGCGUGAGGGAAGACGGCCCUACGGGUUGUAAACCUCUUUUGUCAGGGAGCAAGGUGCAGGUCGGGACCUGCUGUGAGAGUACCUGAAGAAAAAGCAUCGGCUAACUCCGUGCCAGCAGCCGCGGUAAUACGGAGGAUGCGAGCGUUAUCCGGAUUUAUUGGGUUUAAAGGGUGCGCAGGCGGAGGCACAAGUCAGCGGUAAAAUCGCGGGGCUCAACCCCGCUCCGCCGUUGAAACUGUGUCCCUUGAGUGCGCGAAGGGUAGGCGGAAUGCGUGGUGUAGCGGUGAAAUGCAUAGAUAUCACGCAGAACUCCGAUCGCGAAGGCAGCCUACCGGCGCGCAACUGACGCUCAUGCACGAAAGCGUGGGUAUCGAACAGGAUUAGAUACCCUGGUAGUCCACGCAGUAAACGAUGAAUGCUAUCUGUCCGGCCGGAAUGACGGCUGG